rnacentral:misc_RNA from 1 species
UCCGCAUGGUUUCGCGUCCAUAGACAGCAAGUUGUCGACUGUGUAGAUCCUCAUCAAUAUCCGGCGGGUUAGAAUUACCCGAAGCCAUGAUCAAGGAUGCGGCGUCGUUCACAAUAUCGUUAGCGGUGGUAGCAACGGUGGCAACGGUGGCAACGGCGGCAACGUUACUGUUGGAAUUUGAAUCGGAAUCGAUCCGUUGCUUCUUGAUCAAAGACACGCCCACGUUCUGAACG